AAAAAGUGAAGCAGAAUUCGAUCGAUCGAUCGAUCGAUAGAGAGAGAGAGCUAUGGAGGGAGCAGCAGGAAAGAACAUAAAAAAAAAACGGAGGCGGCGGAGCUCUGAGAUCGGAUGUCGCAAUUCGCUGUGCAAAAGCCGCGCUUCUUCUCUCUUCGCUCAAAUCAUCGCCCGCUCGCCGCCGCGACACUGCAGUCGACGACGAUGACGACAUUGCCGAGAAGGAGAUGAAGAAGGAGAUCGGAGAUCUGAAAGUGGAGGUUGCGAGGGAGCGACUCAGGAACAAGAGGAUCAAGAUCUUCGGCUUUCUGGAGCUCCUUCUUCUUGCGUUGCUAUUUGCAGUUUCCGUUUUCCUUUUCAUGCUCGCGUUCGAAGCUGGAGCUUCGUAAUUGCUCUUUCCUCUGUGGAAAAAUGGAGUUGCAGUAGAAAACAAGUAAAUAAUUAGCGGCGGGAAAGCUGAUUGUUCCUAAUUUUUCAUUAAUUUUAUUGAAUUUUUAGUUUCUUUUGGUUUGUUAAUUUGGUGGGGUUUGUUAAUGAAAUUAGUAUUAGUCUGUUACUGUGAUGUGUCAGUGCCUACUAUUUAAGGGUGG
rnacentral:sRNA from 1 species